rnacentral:rRNA from 1 species
AAUCUUCCACAAUGGACGGAAGUCUGAUGGAGCAACGCCGCGUGAGCGAAGAAGGAUUUCGGUUCGUAAAGCUCUGUUGUAAGGGAAGAACACGUACGGGAGUCAUUGCCCGUACCUUGACGGUACCUUAUCAGAAAGCCACGGCUAACUACCUGCCAGCCACCGCGGUAAUACGUAGGUGGCAAGCGUUGUCCGGAAUUAUUGGGCGUAAAGCGCGGGCAGGGGGUCCUUUAAGUCUAAUGUGAAAGCCCACGGCUCAACCGUGGAGGGUCAUUGGAAACUGGAGGACUUGAGUACAGAAGAGGAAGGCGGAAUUCCACGUGUAGCGGUGAAAUGCGUAGAGAUGUGGAGGAACACCAGUGGCGAAGGCGGCUUUCUGGUCUGUAACUGACGCUGAGGCGCGAAAGCGUGGGGAGCAAACAG